AAGUUGUGUUAGUUUGGUAUUGAGAUGAUGUUUUGGUGUUUCAAUUAGUUUAUUGAGUUUUGAUUAGAUUGUUGGAUUCGUGACUGCAAUUAUAAUUGUGAUGAUGUUUUGUUGUAACAUUGU